UGGGGGCAACCCUGAUCCAGCAAUGCCGCGUGUGUGAAGAAGGCCUUCGGGUUGUAAAGCACUUUCGAUGGGGAAGAAAUACUUAAGGUUACUACCCUUGAGGGUUGACGUUACCCAUAGAAGAAGCACUGGCUAACUCUGUGCCAGCAGCCGCGGUAAUACAGAGAGUGCGAGCGUUAAUCGGAAUUACUGGGCGUAAAGCGCGCGUAGGUGGAUACUUAAGUCGGAUGUGAAAGCCCUGGGCUUAACCUGGGAAUUGCAUUCGAUACUGGGUAUCUAGAGUAUAGUAGAGGGAAGUGGAAUUUCCGGUGUAGCGGUGAAAUGCGUAGAUAUCGGAAGGAACACCAGUGGCGAAGGCGGCUUCCUGGACUAAUACUGACACUGAGGUGCGAAAGCGUGGGGAGCAAACAGGAUUAGAGACCCUGGUAGUCCACGCUGUCAACGAUGAGAACUAGACGUUGGGAAGUUUACUUCUUAGUGUCGUAGCUAACGCGAUAAGUUCUCCGCCUGGGGAGUACGGCCGCAAGGCUAAAACUCAAAGGAAUUGACGGGG
rnacentral:rRNA from 1 species